CACGGGGGGAGCAAGCGUUGUUCGGAAUCACUGGGCGUAAAGGGCGUGCAGGCGGUUCGGUAAGUGGAAUGUGAAAUCCCUCGGCUCACCCGAGGACCUGCAUCCCAAACUGCCGAGCUUGAGUAUGGGAGAGGAUGAGGGAAUUCCUGGUGUAGCGGUGAAAUGCGUAGAUAUCAGGAGGAACACCGGUGGCGAAGGCGCUCAUCUGGCCCAAUACUGACGCUGAGGCGCGAAAGCUAGGGGAGCAAACGGG
rnacentral:rRNA from 1 species